rnacentral:rRNA from 1 species
CCUACGGGAGGCAGCAGUGGGGAAUUUUGCGCAAUGCUCGUAAGAGUGACGCAGCGACGCCGCGUGAAGGACGAAGGCCUUCGGGUCGGAAAGUUCUUUCGACAGGGGAGUAAAUGCCUUUAAGUAACUGUGUUUGUAUUGACGGUACCUGUAUAAGCAGCCCCGGCUAACUCCGUGCCAGCAGCCGCGGUAGUACGGAGGGGGCGGGCGUUGUUCGGAGUGACUGGGCGUAAAGAGCACGUAGGCGGUGUUGUAAGUCAUUAGUCAAAGACUAGAGCUCAACUUUAGUAAGGCUAGUGAUACUAUAGUACUAGAGUAUGAGGAAGGAUUGCAGAAUUCCUGGUGUAGCGGUGAAAUGCGUAGAUAUCAGGAGGAAUACCGUUAGCGAAGGCAGCAAUCUGGAUGGAAACUGACGCUGAGGUGCGAAAGCGUGGGUAGCGAACAGGAUUAGAUACCCUUGUAGUC